UACGAAGGGGGCUAGCGUUGCUCGGAAUCACUGGGCGUAAAGCGCACGUAGGCGGCUUGCUAAGUCAGGGGUGAAAUCCUGGAGCUCAACUCCAGAACUGCCUUUGAUACUGGCGAGCUCGAGUCCGGGAGAGGUGAGUGGAACUCCGAGUGUAGAGGUGAAAUUCGUAGAUAUUCGGAAGAACACCAGUGGCGAAGGCGGCUCACUGGCCCGGUACUGACGCUGAGGUGCGAAAGCGUGGGGAGCAAACAGG
rnacentral:rRNA from 1 species